AUUUGGAAAAUUUCAGCCAGUGCUGAAAAAAAUAAAUGUAUACUCCCAGUGGGGUUUGUAAUUUAUUGCUUUAGAGAAAUUGAGAGACACAGGAAAAACUGAAGAAAAACAAUUGUGGAAAGGAUUCCACAGUAUGACUUUAGAGACAUUCUUAAAGCAAAUUCUUAUAUUGGACUGGAUUCCAUUGAGUAGAGAAGCAAUUCAGAGCUGCUAAGGAAAUCAUUAAAAAUCUGUGUUCCAUAUCAACAAGUGGCAUUGGUCGUCUCAGAAGACAAAAUAGCACCAGAUGGAUGAAUUGAUUGAUGAUCUUGGCAAGUAACAUUAUACAUCAUUUCAUGCCAACGGUCUUCCUGGUUUUUGCACAGAAGGAAGAUGAGACGAAUAUGCUGAUGGGGAAGGCUGAAGGAAAAAGAUGCUGUCAGUAGAAGGAAGAGCUUGGGUAAAUGAUACUUCUGAAAACCAAACCAGACUCUGGAGAAUGACAAGAAUAAAACUGGAGAAAGCAACUGGAAGUUUGUUUUGGGGAGGAAUCUGUCAAUCAGUAUGACAUCUAAACAAAGAAGAGUUACUACGUGGAAGAUAAGCGGAGAAAAGCAGACUACAAGUGUUCUGAUACAUACCUAUACAAUGGAGUGGAUGUACUCUGAAGUCUGUGAAACUGAAUACAGCAAUAAGUGCAGAAGUCCUACUUUUGGAAUUAACUAUGCAAUACAGAAAUGCCCCAAAGUGCAGUGAAUUGAGAAGAAUUGUUGCCAUGAUCCUUACAGGAAAUGGACAGUGGAGAGAAGAUUCUCUAACAUUUCUCUUAAAAGCUGCAGUGAAACAUCAUUUGAGUUCAGCAAGUGCAACAGCAGGCCUGCGAACAGCACCUGGACGCAUAAAAACAACAUCCAAGCACUCUCUGAAACAGACCUAAAGGAUGGUGCAUCUACCUACUACAAUUCUGUGGACCAGGUGGGCCAGCUUCUCCUGAAGGACCAGGUGGACCCUGCAGUGGAAAGCAAUGGGCUCAGAGG